rnacentral:rRNA from 1 species
UACGGAGGGUGCGAGCGUUGUCCGGAAUCAUUGGGCGUAAAGGGCGCGUAGGUGGCGGGACAAGCGUGCGGUGAAAGCUCGGGGCUCAACCCCGAGUCGGCCGUGCGAACUGUUUUGCUGGAGCACUGUAGAGGCAGGCGGAAUUCCGGGUGUAGCGGUGGAAUGCGUAGAGAUCCGGAAGAACACCGGUGGCGAAGGCGGUCUGCUGGGGUGAGGCUGACGCUGAUGCGCGACAGCGUGGGGAGCAAACAGG